CUAUUACAUCCGGAACGAGGACCUAUCGCUUUGCGAUCGCAUACAAGAGUGAGCCAUCUUUUGACGAUGGUAGGAUAAUUAUUGACCUGAGGAAUAAUAUGGAUUUAUGUGGUUGUGAGAAUAGACGUUGUGUUUGUGAUUGUGAAAAUGUGAGUGUGUGUCUGUGUGUGCGCGCGCGCUUUCCUGAACCAGGGAUCCCACUUGACAAGUUGACCUUGUCUAGAGGAGCAUUAGUGGAAAAAAACUGUGUAGCCCUGAGACAAUAGGAUGACGUCACGACCAAUGAGAACGGCCUGCAGGGGGCGCAAGGAUUCACUUCUCUCUUGGACACUGACGGGUCUCGACACGCAAAUUCUGCUCCUGGCGUUGGCCGUCAGUGGAAGAGCGUAGCUUCGGUGGGGUUCUGUCUGCCUCUGAUGGGGUGCGGAUGUGUGGUUCGUCACUGGUGAAUGGUGUUCGACGAUGCAGGUGGAUUUUGUGACGAGCGGAUUUACAAUGAGGGAAUGCUGUGAACGGGAAAAAUGAUGAGCUGUCCUAACUUGCCCAGACAUGCCAUGAUGACGUCACAGCUGACGUCACAGGAUGUCCGGAACUUGUGGUCAUAGCUGGGAUGCUUUGCAACCUGCCUCUGUGCUCCGUCGCCCGGCGAUGGUCAGCGGCCUUUCCGGGCCGCUUCCUUCAAGAUGGCGUCGUUGAUCUUCAACUAAACUCCUUCUCUCCACUCUAUCUCUAUCUAUUUUUUUAUUUUUUAUGACCACGUUUAUCCGGAAACGCACAGGGUGGUCUGGACACUAGUUAGACGCUCCCCAAUUAGUGUGAUGACUCACUGGAUGAUGCUGAUUAAUGUGGGGGGUCCCAAUUAGCUCUAAUUGCUAAUUAAUGGCGUCCAGAAGCCUUGUAGCGUUUCCGGAUAAGCGUGGUCAGUACUUACUA